rnacentral:tRNA from 1 species
GGAGUUGUGGCUCAGCGGUAGAGCGCUCACCUAACGAGUGUGAGGCCCUGGGUUCAAUCCUCAGCACCA